GNCGGAGCUUGCUCCGCUGGAUCAGUGGCGAANNNNNNNGUAACACGUGAGCAAUCUGCCCCUGACUCUGGGAUAAGCGCUGGAAACGGCGUCUAAUACCGGAUACGAGCUGCGAAGGCAUCUUCAGCAGCUGGAAAGAACUUCGGUCAGGGAUGAGCUCGCGGCCUAUCAGCUAGUUGGUGAGGUAACGGCUCACCAAGGCGUCGACGGGUAGCCGGCCUGAGAGGGUGACCGGCCACACUGGGACUGAGACACGGCCCAGACUCCUACGGGAGGCAGCAGUGGGGAAUAUUGCACAAUGGGCGAAAGCCUGAUGCAGCAACGCCGCGUGAGGGACGACGGCCUUCGGGUUGUAAACCUCUUUUAGCAGGGAAGAAGCGAAAGUGACGGUACCUGCAGAAAAAGCGCCGGCUAACUACGUGCCAGCAGCCGCGGUAAUACGUAGGGCGCAAGCGUUAUCCGGAAUUAUUGGGCGUAAAGAGCUCGUAGGCGGUCUGUCGCGUCUGCUGUGAAAACCCGAGGCUCAACCUCGGGCCUGCAGUGGGUACGGGCAGACUAGAGUGCGGUAGGGGAGAUUGGAAUUCCUGGUGUAGCGGUGGAAUGCGCAGAUAUCAGGAGGAACACCGAUGGCGAAGGCAGAUCUCUGGGCCGUAACUGACGCUGAGGAGCGAAAGGGUGGGGAGCAAACAGGCUUAGAUACCCUGGUAGUCCACCCCGUAAACGUUGGGAACUAGUUGUGGGGACCAUUCCACGGUUUCCGUGACGCAGCUAACGCAUUAAGUUCCCCGCCUGGGGAGUACGGCCGCAAGGCUAAAACUCAAAGGAAUUGACGGGGACCCGCACAAGCGGCGGAGCAUGCGGAUUAAUUCGAUGCAACGCGAAGAACCUUACCAAGGCUUGACAUAUACGAGAACGGGCCANAAAUGGUCAACUCUUUGGACACUCGUAAACAGGUGGUGCAUGGUUGUCGUCAGCUCGUGUCGUGANANNUUGGGGUUAAGUNCCCGCAACGAGCGCAACCCNUCGUUCNNUGUUGCCAGCACGUAANUGGUGGGGAACUCAUGGGNAA
rnacentral:rRNA from 1 species